CUCUGAUAAGCUGUCAAGCCGUCUUUGGCUCUGAUGCUUUGAAGAGACCCCCUCCUGGGGUAGCCACCACAUCCCUGAGCUGGGACUGCCUUCAGUGUCUCAGCCCUCCGGGCCAGUUGAGGACCUUGCUUCCGGUCCUCCCUGUUGAUUCCCUGCCGGGCCUUUCCCAGCUGUGGGGUUCUGGCCAGUGAAUUGGCUCCGGCAUGCUCCUAUGAAGCGUGACCAUGAUGACAUGGGAGCCGAUCCUGGCUCCUUCUGACUCCGCGCUUUUUUUUUUUCCCUCUUUCUUUGCCACAGUGGACAGGAACUCCGUAGUUUCACUUUCACUGCGCUCUGUUUCCAGUGCAGUGUCCCACCGGCUCCUCUCCCGUCGGACGGAGGAAUACCUGGAUUGACAAUGCUAUGGUGACUGUGUGGUGGACUUACCAAUACAGCCUGGCACGCAGGGCUUGGAGAAUCUUUGUUGUGACUGGUGAAGCCCAUCCACCAAUCAGGUCCAAUAGCACUCCAGGGGCAGAGCCUCCAGAGCGAAUAAAAGGACAGCGUGUUCUGCAUACAGCAGACACAUCAAGGGACAGAGAAGAGGACGGGCAAAGAAGAGCUGGUGCGAGCUGGCCAGUGGGUGGAACCAGCGACGUGAAGUCCCUGAAGAUGCCUCUUUGCAAGCGGGAGCAGUAAGCAGCUGUAUUCCCAGCUCCACUGUGGGGAAUGCGAUGUCAGUGCAUGGCUCAGUGCACAGAGCUCAGACUCUGGGAGCGGUUCGAGGCAGCUCAGGUCUGGAACCCCUGGUGUGAGGCCAGGGACCCCGAUGCAUGCAGUAGUGCAUGGAGCCCAGACCCUGGGAGCUGCAUGAGGCAGCUCAGAUCUGCAACCCCCUGGUGCGAGGCUGGAAAUCCAGAGCCGGUGGCAAGGCAUGGCAUGGCGUGGCACGGCACAGUCUGGCAGGACCCCGACACUGGGAGCCACUCAAGGUGGCUUGGGCCCACCCUUUCUUAGCACGUAGCCAGGACUCCCGUGCACACUUGUUGCACGGCUGGUCCCAGGUGGGGACCCAGGCCUCAGAGCCUCAGAACACAGCCCAAGCCCCCAGCUGCGAGUCCUUGGUGCACACAAUGGUGCAUGGGGCCACCUGGGGGUAUCAGCCCAAAGAGAGCCUGUGGCCUGGGAGGCCCCGCAUGUGAGGAGUGCCUCAGUUGAGGGGACGAGGACUACCCAUUCAUGCCCACUGAGUCAUGAGUUGUUGUGGAAGGGAUUCCCACAGGGGACGGGAGCUACCCCAGCUGUGAAACAGUUAUCCUCGGGGAAGCUUGAGCUGAAGGAAGCUCCCAGGAUCUGGAAUUACCUUAGGGAGAUGUCCCUGGGGCCCGCCACAGUCCUGGGGAGCACAGAGGGUUUCUCCUCCCCCUGCAGGCCAGAGCACAGCCUAUGCCCCAUGGUCUGUCUGGGCUGUGAGGUAAUUAUAGAAUUGAGGCUGACCUGUUUUGAAGUAUGUUAUAUUUUGUGACAGAUCGACUUAAAUGUUGGAAACAUUUUUAUCUAUGUAUUUGAUAGUUCAAUAAAGUAUUAAAUAUAAACUUGCAAAGGGACUUUGCUGGGACCCCUUCCCGGAUGGUUAUAUAUAAUUACCUGUACUUACCUGCAUAUAUUUGUGUUUUGACUAUUGUUUAAUUGUAUUUAUAUGUGGUCACCUGUACCUACCUGUUAUUUGUCUAUUUUAAAUUAGCUUAUUAUCAACACAUUGCUUGGGGCUACCUGAAGGGCUGUAAUCUUUCAGCCUUUAUCUGCAGGGCAUAGUAUUAUGAUAAUUGUAUAUUUGUACAUAUAUGUUUAUUAAUAUUAAUUUUCUUGAUUUUUGCAUAUAUUAAUAAAUCUGAAUAUAGAUAAGCAUCUCUUGUCCUGAUCUGACUCUAUAGGGAGCACAGGGAUCUGGCCUGCAUAUUGCAGAUCCCUCUCACACAUUACUUGGGUGCACCCGGGUUACAACUGUAAAAAUCUGUGCGAGGUACCAGAAAGGGAGAAUGAAGACAGGUGGCAAACUUCUUUAAAAUGAUCGAGUUUUACACUAACAUAAAUGAUGACAGAAGGGAUGCCUGGUCAACUCCCAGGCUGUGAAUACUUGCUUUCAGCUCACCCUAUGGGAUCUGCUGCUAGAUUCUGCUCAACAAGCCCAGCCAUUUAUGAGUUCAUGGAAUAAAAUACAAAUUACAUAAAUAA